AUAAUAUUCCAUGAGGAGGAGGUGUGUACUAUAAAUAUUAGAAUAUUCCAUGAGGAGGUGUGUACUAUAAAUAUUAUGAUAUUCCAUGAGGAGGAGGUGUACUAUAAAUAUUAUAAUAUUCCAUGAGGAGGUGUACUAUAAAUAUUAUAAUAUUCCAUGAGGUGUACUAUAAAUAUUAUAAUAUUCCAUGAGGAGGAGGUGUGUACUAUAAAUAUUAUAAUAUUCCAUGAGGAGGAGGUGUACUAUAAAUAUUAUAAUAUUCCAUGAGGAGGUGUACUAUAAAUAUUAUAAUAUUCCAUGAGGAGGUGUACUAUAAAUAUUAUAAUGUUCCAUGAGGAGGAGAUGUACUAUAAAUAUUAUAAUAUUCCAUGAGGAGGUGUGUACUAUAAAUAUUGACUUAACAAAUAAAUACUUAUUUGCCUCAUUAAAAUGAGGGAUCAAUUAAAUCUAUUUAUAACAUUUUUGACGUGCGUUUAUCUUUGAUUCUUGUUGUUAUUCUGUCUCUCACUGUUCAAAUAAACCUAC
ensembl:lncRNA